GUAAGGAAUAUUGGUCAAUGGACGAAAGUCUGAACCAGCCAUGCCGCGUGGAGGAUGAAGGUCCUCUGGAUUGUAAACUUCUUUUAUAUGGGACGAAAAUGGGGCUUUCUAGCUCAACUGACGGUACCAUAUGAAUAAGCACCGGCUAACUCCGUGCCAGCAGCCGCGGUAAUACGGAGGGUGCAAGCGUUAUCCGGAUUCACUGGGUUUAAAGGGUGCGUAGGUGGAUUGGUAAGUCAGAGGUGAGAUCUCCGGGCUCAACUCGUAAACUGCCUUUGAUACUAUCAAUCUUGGAUAUUGUUGAGGUUAGCGGAAUAUGUCAUGUAGCGGUGAAAUGCUUAGAUAGGACAUAGAACACCAAUUGCGAAGGCAGCUGGCUACACAUAUAUUGACACUGAGGCACGAAAGCGUGGGGAUCAAACAGGAUUAGAAACCCGGGUAGUCC
rnacentral:rRNA from 1 species